CAGAUGUGGAGAGAAAGAAGGCCCUGAACAGGAUUAAAUGCUGUUUUCCCUCAGCCCUCUGUGAAGCAGGGUGAAGCCAGAGCUCCACAAAGCUAUUCCCAGUUUUCAUUUUGUUCCUCAGGCUAUUGUGAUUCCAUGAACAGAAUAUGUGGAUGGUGUGAUUAACUCGUCUUAAGUGAUGUUUCCUACUUGCAGCUUUGCUUCGGAGAUAAGUUCUGGUGAAAAACCCUGGAUGCUUGUCUGAAAUUCAAGCUUCAGCAAUCAUAAGCUGCUUUUGGGAUCAUGCCAUAAGUAAGUGGAUGAUUUCUGAGAUGGAGGACAUCUGAGGCUCAAUAGGCCUUAACGACCCUCAGACAGC